rnacentral:tRNA from 1 species
GGUGUCUUAGCUCAGGUGGUAGAGCAAUGGACUGAAAAUCCAUGUGUCCCCGGUUCGACUCCUGGAGACACCA